rnacentral:rRNA from 1 species
UACGUAGGGUGCGAGCGUUUGUCCGGGAUUUAUUAGGGGCGUGAAAGAGCUCGUAGGGCGGUUUGUCGGUCGUACGGCCGUUGAAAGUCUCCCAUACGCUUAACGUGGAGCGUGCGGUCGAUACGGGCAGACUUGGAGUUCGGUAGGGGAAAGACUUGGAAUUCCUGGUGUAGCGGUGAAAUGCGCAGAUAUCAGGAGGAACACCGGUGGCGGAAGGCGGGUCUCUGGGCCGAUACUGACGCUGAGGAGCGAAAGCGUGGGGAGCGAACAGG